GCCCAAAUGCAAAAGCGUGACAACCCUGUUCCAUUGCAGCGUGUGUAUUGCCAAAACUGAGCGGCGCACUCAGAACGAUCGAAUGUUAGUGUUAAUGUGCCUCAAAGUGGCGGACAUCCGAAUGGCGGACGGGAUGAUGGUGCGUCCUCGUGGAGCAAAGAAGGACGAUUAACACCACGACUGAAAUUGGCUUGCCAUGGAAAGAGAGUACUCCACGUAAUAUGAUGUCCUCCAGUUGAGUUCUGCCGGUGCCCAGGAGGGAGAUCUACUGCAGGAAAUCUGGUACUCCUAGAACUUUUGGCCACAACUUUAAAAAUAAUUGUCUGAAUAUGGAAUGUCAUACCUCGUUGAGCUCGU